rnacentral:rRNA from 1 species
AAACUUUCAACAACGGAUCUCUUGGUUCUGGCAUCGAUGAAGAACGCAGCAAAAUGCGAUAAGUAAUGUGAAUUGCAGAACUCAGUGAAUCAUCGAAUCUUUGAACGCACAUUGCGCCCGCCAGUAUUCUGGCGGGUAUGCCUGUUCGAGCGUCAUUU